CAGCCUGCUACCUCAUGCACCAUCACCAUGUCAUUACAAUAACUACCGAGACUUGUGCCUGUAGCUCUGUCUCAAAAACGCUGUCACUUCGCGCCUGUAGCAUUGUCACAAGCACAGGUGGCACUUCAGGCCAUGUCACGGUCACUCUGCGCCAGAGUUGCUGUUACAAGCACAUCGGGCAAUCUGUGAAAAAAUUGCAGUUCAGUAG